rnacentral:rRNA from 1 species
UCAANGAGAAGUCUGAUGGAGCACGCCGCGUGAACGAUGAAGGCCUUCGGGUCGUAAAGUUCUGUUGUAAGGGAAGAACAAGUGCCGCAGGCAAUGGCGGCACCUUGACGGUACCUUGCGAGAAAGCCACGGCUAACUACGUGCCAGCAGCCGCGGUAAUACGAA